rnacentral:rRNA from 1 species
AUUGAACGCUGGCGGAAUGCCUUACACAUGCAAGUCGAACGAUGAACCUUAGCUUGCUAAGGGAAUUAGUGGCGAACGGGUGAGUAAUGUAUCGGAACGUAUCCAAUAAUGGGGGAUAACUAGUCGAAAGAUUAGCUAAUACCGCAUACGUCCUACGGGAGAAAGCUAGGGACCUUCGGGCCUGGCGUUAAUGGAGCGGCCGAUAUCUGAUUAGCUAGUUGGUGGGGUAAAGGCUCACCAAGGCGACGAUCAGUAGCUGGUCUGAGAGGACGACCAGCCACACUGGAACUGAGACACGGUCCAGACUCCUACGGGAGGCAGCAGUGGGGAAUUUUGGACAAUGGGCGAAGGCCUGAUCCAGCCAUUCCGCGUGAGUGAAGGAGGCCUUCGGGUUGUAAAGCUCUUUCGCAAGGGAAGAAAACUUAAGCUCUAACAUAGCUUGAGGUUGACGGUACCUUGAUAAGAAGCACCGGCUAACUACGUGCCAGCAGCCGCCGUAA